rnacentral:rRNA from 1 species
UACAGAGGGUGCAAGCGUUGUUCGGAAUUACUGGGCGUAAAGCGCGUGUAGGCUGUUUUUCAAGUCUCGUGUGAAAGCCCCGGGCUCAACCCGGGAAGUGCGCGAGAUACUGGGAGACUGGAGUGGCGGAGAGGAUGGCGGAAUACCCGGUGUAGAGGUGAAAUUCGUAGAUAUCGGGUGGAACACCUGUGGCGAAGGCGGCCAUCUGGAAGCCAACUGACGCUGAGACGCGAAAGCAUGGGGAGCAAACAGG